rnacentral:misc_RNA from 1 species
UUAAGUUCAGCGGGUAGUCCUACCUGAUUUGAGGCCAAAGUUGUCAAGUUGUCUUGUAAAGACGAUUAGAAGCGGAACCUCUCCACUAGGGAGGCUGUUUCUCAGUGAUAUAGAUAGUUAUCAUAUCAAUGAUCGUCAGCAAAGGACUGCUAAUAUAUUUGAGAAGAGCUGAUUUGCAAAAACCAGCAACUUCCACAAUC